UACGUAGGGUGCAAGCGUUAAUCGGAAUUACUGGGCGUAAAGCGUGCGCAGGCGGUUUUAUAAGACAGAUGUGAAAUCCCCGGGCUCAACCUGGGAACUGCAUUUGUGACUGUAGAGCUGGAGUACGGCAGAGGGGGAUGGAAUUCCGCGUGUAGCAGUGAAAUGCGUAGAUAUGCGGAGGAACACCGAUGGCGAAGGCAAUCCCCUGGGCCUGUACUGACGCUCAUGCACGAAAGCGUGGGGAGCAAACAGG
rnacentral:rRNA from 1 species